AAACCUCUGGUGUAUCUGUUGUGGCGCCAGCUGCAUUGCAGAGUAGCCACGUUUGGCCAAGAUAAGCGCUGAAAGCAUCUAAGCGCGAAGCUUUCCUCAAGAUGAGAUUUCCUUUAAGGGUCGUCAGAGACUAUGACGUUGAUAGGUUGCAAGUGUAAAGGCAGUAAUGUCAAAGCUGAGCAAUACUAAUUACCCGAAUGCUUCUUUUG
rnacentral:rRNA from 1 species